GGAAAACAACUAAUUUCUCACAUGUUGAAGCUACAAACCUUGGACACAAAGCACUGAAACCAAGCCAUCUCUUACUGAGGGCGCUAUUGCAGGACGUGACACCAUUUUAUACCACAUUAUUUUUAAACUUUUAAUAUAUGAACGUUGUACUUUCUCGAUAAAACAAUAUUGGAUAGGAAAACAACUAAUUUCUCACAUGUUCAAGGUACAAACAUUGGACACAAAGCACAGAAACCAAGCCAUCUCUCACUGAGGGCGAUAUUGCACUCAUGACUUGUACUACCCGCAGUCCCACAUUAACUCUCAAAAUGGACAUAUUCAAUAGCAUUCACCGACUAUUGAAGAUCAAUAGAUUUGCUGAAAACAACACAAGAUACUAGAAUACUUUCAGUUUUGUGCCAUCCUUGUUUUCACAUUUUCCUGCAUGAUCAUCGUUGUUUCAACUCUAAAUCAUCCCCUGCCCCAAUAUCUUCACCAAAAGCUACUUUACAAACGCAAAUAGGAGAAAAACAAGUGAUAUAUAUGAUUUAUCAGUGUACCAUUCGCCCCUAGCUUUGUUCGAUCCUUUGUAUCACACUUCUAGAUUAUUUGCAUCCAUAUUGGAGCUAAAUUUUCUACCUAAUAAUUUCCAUUACUGCCCAUUUAAUUCGUACCUUCUCUUAAGAACGUUCUCUCUAAUCAUUUUUCCUCUUUUUUUAGUCUAUUAAUAUCUUUAGUUUUCAAUACAAAUCUAGCUAUGUGAUUGACAACUCAGUAGCCAAAGGCAUCAAAGCUUCGUCCCCAGUGGCAUGUUGUGUGUG
rnacentral:lncRNA from 1 species